AGUGUAGGCGGGAUCGUAAGUUAGGAGUUUAAAGCAUGGGCUUAACCCAUGAUCUGCUUUUAAUACUGCGGUUCUUGAGUAUGGGAGAGGGCGAUGGAAUUCCAGGUGUAGCGGUGGAAUGCGUAGAUAUCUGGAAGAACACCAGUAGCGAAGGCGGUCGCCUGGCCCAAUACUGACGCUGAUGCUCGAAAGCUAGGGGAGCAAACAGGAUUAGAUACCCUGGUAGUCCUAGCCGUAAACGAUGGACACUAGUUGCUGGAGGAGUCAAUCCUUUCGGUGACGAAGCUAACGCAUUAAGUGUCCCGCCUGGGGAGUACGCUCGCAAGGGUGAA
rnacentral:rRNA from 1 species